CCCCCCGUGCAGGGGCCGGGGCUCGGGCGGGGCGCGUUACAUCGGGCGGGGUCGCCCCUCCGGCCGCCGGGUCCGCCGCGCUCCAGGGAUUUCUGGGUCUGCCUGCCAAACUCUCCGCGCCUCUCGCUCCCCUCGCUCUGGUCUCCCCCAGUGCCCCCUCCUUCUCUCCCGUCCCUCGGCUCUUUUUUCCGGGUUAAUUACGUUUCGCAUUAAAGCAAAACCCAGCCCCGGAUACAGGGUCUGGCUCUGUCGCCCAGGCUGGAGUGCGGUGGCGCAGUCAUAGCUCACUGCAGCCUCGACCUCCUGGGUCCAGCGAUCCUUCUGCCCCAGCCUCCCGAGUAGCUGGGACCACAGGCGCCUACACCGUGCCCGUUGGGACUUUUUCGGUGUGAUGCGAAGACUCCCUUCCUGCCCCCAGAGCAUGAGGGUGCUCUGGGAAAAAAUGGGAAACAGACAAGCAUGUGUUACUACGUAAACCUCGCCAAGAGGAACUAAGAGAGCUGCUGUGCGCGGGUCCCGCCCCUGCGCUAUCUCAUUUGAUCCACGCCGCAACCUAUGGGUACCAGUCCGGUUCACGGUGAGGAAACCGAGACUCAGACUUGUGAAGUAAUUUGCCCUGGGUACCCAGUUAGUAAACGGCAGGUCUGUCAGGUUCUGACUCCGGCCUCCCACGUCGGGAGAGAGACAUUUGAAUAUGCAUCAAGUCAGGUGGACAACAUCCGAAACAUGAAAAUGUAGAAGAUUCGCGCGGGCCUGCGGGGCCGUGCGCCGGUGUCUGGCGAUCCUAAUGCAAACGUUGUUAAUCAGGUGUAAAUCCUACGAGGCUUUGAAAGAGGCAGGCAUAAGAAGACGCUGAGGUUCUCCAGGACAAGGACUGGAUUUGCAGGAAGGAGGGAGAGGCUGGGGCACAUUCCCGGUGUUAACAGAGGAAAGGCGGCCUCUUAUGUCUCCACGACCGACCGGAGGCCACAAGGCCUGGGGAGGGGGGCUCGGGCCGAUGAGCCAGGACCGAGGGAGAAGGACAGCCCGCCCCACACACCCCGAAAGCACCAGUGAUGAAACCACACAAGUUUCCUCUUCCAUUUUGAUUGCCAAAGCAAAAAUGAACACCGCCGGUGUCUCAGGUGUGAAAAAAGACUGUUUGCUUUAGAGCAUUUUGCUUUCAAUGAGGAAGAAAAGGGGGACGAUGGGCAAAACACACACACACACACACACACACACACACACACACACACACACACACAUUUCCCUUGAAAUAAAUACAUCAAUGUCUUUUUUUUCCCCGUUCAUGGAGGGUUUUGCCACUCAUCUGUAAGUUUCAGGCACCAGAACAAACUGAAGAGCAUCUCCUCUGGAAGCAAGGAACCUGGAUUUGAAGCCCAGCUCUGCCGUUUACUGGCUUUGACCCCUGGGCAAGUUACUUAACUUCUCAAUGCCUCUGUUAGGAAAAGUCAGUGAGUUAACAUUUGUGAAGUGUUGAGAUUCCUGUCGAACGUGAAGUAGGUGCUACGUAAAUGUUUUUUAAAUUUAAAAAUUAGAUGAUCAUUUUCAGUAUGAAAAGCAACACAAUUCCAUCCAGCUCCAAGCAAAUCCGACUGGAACUGAGGGUUUCCAGCAUGAGCAAUGAGGUAAAUUUCUCAGAUUUCAGGGUAUGGUUCAUAUUAAACUCAUAAAACUCUA